GGAAGCGUGGCAGAGCGGUCGAUUGCACCGGUCUUGAAAACCGGCGGCCCGCAAGGGCCCGUGAGUUCGAAUCUCACCGCUUCCGCCA
rnacentral:tRNA from 1 species